rnacentral:rRNA from 1 species
AUUGAACGCUAGCGGGAUGCUUUACACAUGCAAGUCGAACGGCGGCGCGGACUUCGGUCUGGCGGCGAGUGGCGAACGGGUGAGUAAUGUAUCGGAACGUGCCCAGUAGCGGGGGAUAACUACGCGAAAGCGUAGCUAAUACCGCAUACGCCCUACGGGGGAAAGCAGGGGAUCGUAAGACCUUGCACUAUUGGAGCGGCCGAUAUCGGAUUAGCUAGUUGGUGAGGUAACGGCUCACCAAGGCGACGAUCCGUAGCUGGUUUGAGAGGACGACCAGCCACACUGGGACUGAGACACGGCCCAGACUCCUACGGGAGGCAGCAGUGGGGAAUUUUGGACAAAGGGGGCAACCCUGAUCCAGCCAUCCCGCGUGUGCGAUGAAGGCCUUCGGGUUGUAAAGCACUUUUGGCAGGAAAGAAACGUCGCGGGCUAAUACCCCGUGGAACUGACGGUACCUGCAGAAUAAGCACCGGCUAACUACGUG